rnacentral:rRNA from 1 species
AUUGAACGCUGGCGGCAUGCCUUACACAUGCAAGUCGAACGGCAGCACGGGAGCAAUCCUGGUGGCGAGUGGCGAACGGGUGAGUAAUGUAUCGGAACGUGCCCAUUCGUGGGGGAUAACGUAGCGAAAGCUACGCUAAUACCGCAUACGAUCUAUGGAUGAAAGCGGGGGAUCGCAAGACCUCGCGCGAUUGGAGCGGCCGAUAUCAGAUUAGGUAGUUGGUGGGGUAAAGUCUCACCAAGUCGACGAUCUGUAGCUGGUCUGAGAGGACGACCAGCCACACUGGGACUGAGACACGGCCCAGACUCCUACGGGAGGCAGCAGUGGGGAAUUUUGGACAAUGGGCGCAAGCCUGAUCCAGCAAUGCCGCGUGCAGGAUGAAGGCCUUCGGGUUGUAAACUGCUUUUGUACGGAACGAAACGGCGAGCUCUAAUACAGUUUGCUAAUGACGGUACCGUAAGAAUAAGCACCGGCUAACUACGUGCCAGCCGCCGCCAUAA